GCGACAGUCGCAUAGCCUGGUAUUGCGCAGGAUUGCUAAUCCUGUGGUGUUUCACCUCGAGGGUUCAAAUCCCUCCUGUCGCGCCA
rnacentral:tRNA from 1 species